rnacentral:tRNA from 3 species
GGGCUCGUGGUCUAGAUGGUUAUGACGUCGCCUUGACAUGGCGGAGGUCCGGAGUUCGACUCUCCGCGGGCCCACCA